rnacentral:rRNA from 1 species
UACGUAGGGUGCAAGCGUUGUCCGGAUUUAUUGGGCGUAAAGAGCUCGUAGGCGGUUCAGUAAGUCGGGUGUGAAAACUCUAGGCUCAACCUGGAGACGCCACUCGAUACUGCUGUGACUUGAAUCUGGUAGGGGAGCACGGAAUUCCUGGUGUAGCGGUGAAAUGCAUAGAUAUCAGGAGGAACACCGGUGGCGAAGGCGGUGCUCUGGGCCAGUAUUGACGCUGAGGAGCGAAAGCGUGGGUAGCGAACAGG